GGUGAGCUGCUGAGAGAACUGACUCCUUCACUGCUCUGGCUUCGAUGCGCGACUCCUGAAAGCAAUGUGAAAAGAGCUGUAAAGGACAAAGAAUUAGAUGCCCACUGACUAGGAGUGGUAAAAUCGGUCCAUGAACAUGAAAUAUGACUGUGCUGUAAGAAAUGAUGAAUGGAGAAAUACAAAAGUAUGGGAAGAACUCCAUGAACUUAUACAGAGUGAAGAGGAGCCAAAAAAAAUUCUACAUAAGGACUACAGUGAGGAAUGGCUCUUUGGAGAGAGAAGCAGGAGGUACAGAUGAGGAGAACUGUUAAGGAAAUUCACCUUCCUACCUUUGGGCAAGUCUCUCUGGAUGUUAUCUACAAAAUAAUGGAAUUGUACUAGACCCUCUGAUCACAGAUUUAAAAUGGGAAGAGACUUUAGAAGUCACCUUGUCCAACAUGUUCAUUUUUCAGAUGACGUAACUUAAGGCCAAGGAGGUUAAAUGACUUCCCCAAAGACAUAGACGCAGCAAAGUGCCAGACCUAGGUUUCAAAUCCAGGAACUGUGAUUCCAAUUCUCGACUUAGAUGAUCUCUAAGAGCCCAUUGGUAAUGAGAUAAUACAUAUGGAAAAGGCCUAUGAGAUAGAUAGGUCAAACAUCAAUGUAGAUAUAUAUCCAUCUAUCUACCAAUUUAUUCACACUGAUAGGAGCACCCUACAUGUCUAGCUGUUCCUCUAUGUGUAAAAGGGGUAGAAGGAUCAUCUAUAGAGAUGGAAAGAGAAUAAUAAAUUACUGAGAUAAAAAAAAAACAGAAAAAAACAAGGAUGUAAAUAACUAGCAGGGUGUGUAACCUCCCAAAACAGCCUCCUCUCUUUUCUGUAAAUUGAGGGGGUUGGGCAAGAUGCUCUCUGAGGUUCCUUCCAGCUCUAAUGCUGUGGAAUUCCAGCCCUUUAAAAAGGGACAAAAAUGACUUAAGUGUCUUAUUCAUAACUGAGUUUUUUAAUCUUUCCCCAAGUCAGUAUGGCAUUACAUGAACUCUACGCCUACAUUUUUCAUUUAAUUUAGGGGAGGAGAAAUAGAAUCUUUCCCUACCUAUGCUGAUAAAUAACUAUAAUCUGCUUCCAUCAAAUCAGUAUAUAUCUUGUAUUUACCUACUCCUACACAUCUCACCCACUAGAAUAUAACAUCCACAAAGGCAGGGACUAUGUCUCUUUUCUCAGCAUAGCAUUAGGCACAUAGUUGUGCUUAAUAAAAGUUGACUUACUGACUGAUGCACAGUCCUAGAAAGAUGGUAACGGUCUAUGUGACUGUUGCCAAAUCACUUACCUUCCCAGGCCUCACUUUCAUCCUUCCCCUCCU